rnacentral:rRNA from 1 species
GAUGAACGCUAGCGGCAGGCUUAAUACAUGCAAGUCGAGGGGCAGCAGGGGUGUAGCAAUACACUUGCUGGCGACCGGCAAACGGGUGCGGAACACGUACGCAACUUACCCUGAACUGGGGGAUAGCCCGGGGAAACCCGGAUUAAUACCCCGUAACACUGUGAGGUGGCAUCACCUUAUAGUUAUAGCUCCGGUGGUUCAGGAUGGGCGUGCGGCUGAUUAGGUAGUUGGUUGGGGUAAUGGCCCACCAAGCCUACGAUCAGUAACUGGUGUGAGAGCACGACCAGUCAACCGGGCACUGAGACACGGGCCCGACUCCUACGGGAGGCAGCAGUAAGGAAUAUUGGGCAAUGGAGGCAACUCUUACCCAGCCAUGCCGCGUGGAGGAUGAAGGCCCUCUGGGUUGUAAACUUCUUUUACCUGGGACGAAACCUUUCUUUUCUAAGGGAGUUGACGGUACCAGGGGAAUAAGCACCGGCUAACUCCGUGCCAGCCGCCGCAGUAAAAC